rfam:Beta vulgaris subsp. vulgaris chromosome 2, whole genome shotgun sequence.
AGGUCGUGGUGUGGGUAUGCUCUUUACAGGUCUUUAAACCUAUUCCAUGCUUCCUUCAGUGUCUCAUCACGUUCUUGUUAGAAGGUAGCAAUUUUAUGUCUGAAUUC